rnacentral:rRNA from 1 species
UAUCUCUGUAGAGUCUGCAUAUCAAUAAGCGGAGGAAAAGAAACUAACAUAGGAUUCCCUCAGUAACGGCGAGUGAAGCGGGAAGAGCUCAAAUUUGAAAUCUUCAAGGUUCUACCUUGACGAAUUGUAGUUUAAAGAAGUGUUUUCUGUUGAAGUUUUGGUAAAAGUUCUUUGGAAUAGGACAUCAUAGAGGGUGAGAAUCCCGUAUUUGACCAGUUACUUUCCAGCUGUGUGAUACACUUUCAAAGAGUCGGAUUGUUUGGGAAUGCAGUCCAAAAUGGGUGGUAAAUUUCAUCUAAAGCUAAAUACUGGCGAGAGACCGAUAGCGAACAAGUACCGUGAGGGAAAGAUGAAAAGAACUUUGAAAAGAGAGUUAAACAGUACGUGAAAUUGUCAAAAGGGAAGCGUUUGACACCAGUGUUGUUUUUCCAAAAAUCAAUUACGAAUGGCUUGAUUCUGUGUUGUAUUGACCUUAUCAGCUUUCUGCACUUUUUUUCGAGUCUUUCUUAAUGCACUUUUUCGGUUAACAAGUCAACAUCAAUUUCUUUUGUUGUAAAAGAGUAUUCGGAAGGUGGCUUUUCUUUUCGGAGAAAGUGUUUAUAGCCCUAUACUUCUACAAUCGGAGAGAUUGAGGUCUGCAGCGUAGAUCCUUCGGGGUUAGAUACAUUUGUGCUAAGUUGUAGCCUUUCAUAGACAACUUGUUGACUAUGAUCAGUCAUGUAGCUUACUCGCUUAGUGCUAUUUUACCUACGCUUAGGAUGUUGAAGAUGUAGCACAUCAU